UCGUUUGACUGUGGGCUCACUACCAGCUUCACCCGAAAACUUUGCAGUAAAACCGCGGUUACAUAAUUGCCGUGUUGAUAGAUUGCGUGCAUUGUAUACUUAUCCUCAUCUGGAAUUCGUCUACGGUAUAGUUUGCGCGUGUCGGAAGUUCUGCUGCUUUGAUCGAGUGGCGGACUAUGACUCGCAGUACGUUGCCGCUCUGAAUAGCCAUAUCGGACGCGCGCCUUUGUGUUCGAUCUGAAAAGUGAUUUCUUCCUCCAUUUAUCGAUUACGCGUGUUGUUCGCGUGAUUCAAUGUCGAGUGCUACUUCCGAAGACAAUCCAUGACCUCGUGGUGUGACAAGCAGUGAGCUAAUGUUAUACGAGAGCGUGAGCUUUUUGACGGGCGACUGAAGAGUGCACAGCCAAUGCCAAAACUUCGGAAGCGAUGGCCCGGGCGGCUUGUUGGCACAGCGAGGAUGACGAACCAGAGACCCGAUAGGCAGCUGUUCAUGGUCCCGACACAGAGGACAGGUUGCAGUGCACGAUUGGAGCGGUCUUUCUGCAAGCCCUAACGAGCCUUAGUAAGUGGUUUUAAAUACAGCAGUGGUGCCACCACGACGAUGCUACAAGAGACCCUAUCAUCAGUGCGAAGUCCAAAAUUAAAUACAAAUGCAGUUAUUCCUGGAAAUUAC